CUAAAGCGAAACUGCGAACGGCUCAUUAUAUGAGUUAUCGUAUAUUUGAUACUGCCACCAUUCCAUGGAUAACCGUGGUAAUUCUAGGGCUAAUACAUGCUGAAAAUCCCGACUUCGGAAGGGACGUAUUUAUUAGUUCAAAAACCAAUGCCCUUCGGGGCUCUUUGGUGAAUCUGGAUAACUAAACAAAUCGCAUGGCCUUGCGCUGGCGAUGGCUCAUUCAAAUAUCUUCCCUAUCAACUUUCGAUGGUAGUAUCUGGGACUACCAUGGUGAUAACGGGUAACGGAGGGUUAGGGCUCGACCCCGGAGAGAUAGCCUGAGAAACGGCUUUCACAUCCAAGGAAGGCAGCAGGCGCGCAAAUUACCCAAUCCCAACGCGGGGAGGUAGUGACGAUAAAUACCGAUACAGGGUUCUUUUGGACCCUGUAAUUGGAAUGAGUACAAUUUAAACCUCUUAACGAGGAACAACUGGAGGGCAAGUCUGGUGAACGUCCAGUUCCAUUUUGCUGGCGCCAGCAAGAGCGGGAGGACCCUAUACUAUAGGGUAUACCUUCAGACCCGCUAGUCGAGCAUCCACUCAAUGGCGGGAGGAUGCCGGCAAGACAACCUGGAUCGGGGGAGGCUAAGGGGUGCGCUAAUGAGGGCGCCCUAUGCUGAUCCCGAGCAGAGCUGCCGGAGAGCGAUUUCUGGUGAGCCUGUGUAGAGCGCGCAAAGGUGUCGGUCGCACUGCUAUUCAGCAGGCGGCUUAAGGUACGUGCCGCCCCCCGCGAAAGCGGAAUCUCUGUUCGGAGCGCCCGCCACGCGAGGAA
rnacentral:rRNA from 2 species